GAGGGUAUAUCUCAAGUGAUAGAGUGUAUGCUUAGCAUGCACAAGGUCCUGGGUUCAAUCCCCAGUACCUCCU
rnacentral:tRNA from 1 species